AGAGAGAUGGAGUAGAGGAGAGGAGAGAUGUGGGGUGAGGGGAGGAGAUAUGAGAUGAGAGGAGAGGAGAGAUGUGGGGUGAGGAGAGGAGAGGGGAGGAGUGGAGAGAUGAGAUGAGAGGAGAGGAGAUAUGUGGGGUGAGGAGAGGAGAGAUGUGGGGUGAGGAGAGGAGAGAUAUGGGAGGGAGAUAGGAGAGAUGUGGGGUGACGAGAGGAGAGGAGAGAUGUGGGGUGACGAGAGGAGAGAUGUGGGGUGACGAGAGGAGAGAUGUGGGGUGACGAAGGAGAGAUGUGGGGUGACGAGAGGAGAGAUGUGGGGUGACGAGAGGAGAGAUGUGGGGUGAGGAGAGGAGAGAUGUGGGGUGACGAGAGGAGAGAGGUGGGGUGACGAGAGGAGAGAUGUGGGGUGACGAGAGGAGAGAUGUGGGGUGACGAGAGGAGAGGAGAGAUGUGGGGUGACGAGAGGAGAGAUGUGGGGUGACGAGAGGAGAGGAGAGAUGUGGGGUGACGAGAGA
ensembl:lncRNA